AAAAUACUUAAACUUUAUCAUUAAAGAAAUUUGACAAUUGUCUUGGACUAGAAAAAAAGUUCAGAUCUACUGAAGAUUGCAUAUAUUUAGCUUGCCCACCUCUAAUAUAGUACAGUGAAAGGAUACUACUGAAGCUAAACAGUCAGUAGAAGUUUUCUACUUCCAAAUUUUGUCAUUUGUAGUUCUGGGAAUGUUCCAAAUUGAAUAUCUUUGUCACUUGAUCUAUGAACGUCACUCCUUUGACUGCAUCAGAAUUACAUUUUCUAAAAAGUUUGAUAAUGGUCUAAGUAAACUCAAAAAGUUUAGUUACUAAAAUUCAAAACAAGCUGAGUAAUCUUUUUAGUGAUACAGGGUUGUUGUCAAAAAUAUUCCAGAAUAGGAAAUGAACAAAAUCAUAUGCUGUACCUCACCAUUUUGUUGUGGUAUUGUAACAUUUGUACUGACUGAAGUCAGAGUUGUUAAUGCUUAAACAUAUUUGCAUUUUAUAAUGUAAUUUUUUAUAAAACUUUAUCUUAAAAAUCACUUGAAAAAUCUCUGUUGAAACAAAAUGGCGAUGACAGGAAAUCCUAAGUAGAUUAACCAAUUCCAAACUCAAAUAAUAUAUAGACCUAAGGAAUUCAUGUGAAGACACUACUGGUACUGACAGAAACUGUUAUUAAUUUAGGAGUGGAAAGUGAGUUUCAAGAACACCAAAAUAGGUUAGGAAAGGGUGAAAUCACCGGGAUUCUUAAAAUGGCUGGACCUUCAAUCAGAAAUCCUUUAUUCACAUUGUUAAUCUUUCUUAUGACAUCCCAUUAAUGGCUUCACAGCAGAAACAGAUGUCAUCAUUUAGCGUGAUAUGGAAAGACAGCCACAUUAGAAUGAACUGAUCUGAAUUUUGUACAAUCUUCCCACUUGGAACUGGGAGUUCAGAGAUGGGUACUAUGAAGAUCUGAAAAUUCUAAUCAUGGAAAAUGAAGUAUUCGAGUCAAAAUGACAUGCUAUUCAAGACUACUGAGAAAAUUCUUUUGAUUUUAGACUACCACAGAUUUCUGAAAAUAAAAACAUUCUUUUUAUUUAAAUAGAAGUAUUUCUGAGUACAAUUAACUAUUCUUUAGUCAUUCUAGAAUUUCUGUGAGGUAUAAACUCGUGGAGUGAGACAGCUAACAGAUGCAUAACUAUUUAGUUGAGUUUGAAAUUUGAAUCCAGAGAAAAAUAUUUCACUUUUGCUACAUGGACAGUAACAGUGAAUGAAGAAAAGUCCCUGAUGAUAUUUCUCCAUAAUGACUCCACAGACAAGUCUGAACACAUAUCUUAAUACUAGAUCCUGUUUGGCUGAUUCAUGCAAACACCUUUGCUCCACUAAUAGCCAGGUUUAACUUGCUUUGGUUCAGCACAAUAAGUAUAGAGGCAGAGCAAGAAGUAGAAAAACUAGUGCUACCCAUUUUGUCAUCAUGUUAUCAAAAGAUUUUGAAUAAUUUCUUGAUAUAUGUGCAUGGGUUGCUCAAGAGGAUGCUGGCAUGGGGUCUAUUUUCGAUUAAAUCCAUAAUGACACUUUUGGCCCAAGACACUUUCUGCAGGGGUGGAAGAGAUUAAGUGUAUGCUCUACUCCUACACAAAAACAACAGCAGUAGAGUAUCUUUUGCUGUUGUUUUUUAUUGUUUUUUUUUUUUUCAUUCAAAUAAAGCCCCACUUAAUACUGGAAUAUUAGCAUUUCUUCUGAGUUCAUGCACAGAUCAGAAACUCUCUGCUGAACUGUAUGCAGAAAGAGCUUUGAAACAAAUUUAAUGACAAUUUCAUCUCUUCAUCUUAAGUACUUUCACAACAGGCAACAAAGUAUGGGAAGAGAGAAUGACAGAGCACAGAAUCCAGAAAGCAAAGUUGAAAUUUGGAGGGAAAAAUCCACACAAAGCAUAAGCAUGAAUGCAAUAUCCAAGAAAUCCUGAGCAGAUGGGGAUCAAGGCUGCCUUGUGGAGAUGUGACUCAGCAAAUCAUCAAAUUUGCUGUUGAAAAACAGUAAAAAUCUACAUUUUGAAAAAACAAAAACAAACAAACAAACAAAAAACAGUUUUAUUUCCACUCUCUCUCUGGCUUUGCUGGGUGAAGAUGAUAUGAUUUAUUUUGAUUAGCCCAAUGACAUGGGACAUUCUUCAACAAAUUUACAUCACUCCUGUACAUCUAUUUGCUUGUGAGCUAAUUGUAGAACAACUCUUCAUAACCAUUGGUGAGAGACAGGAUAUUUUACAGUACAAAUCCUCUCACAUCAAAGCAGGUAUUUAACACAGGUCAACUGAAUAGCAUCCCAGAGAUGAAUAGCUAUUGUUGGUGAUUGUAGAGGAGGUACCUCUGAUACAGAAAUUUUGCUCACCUAUAGCCAGCCUUGCAACCUGGGGCUCUGCUCUAUGAAGAUCCCAAAGACAAAGCUCCUCAGGGGUAAUGAGACUUUGAGUGAAUGAUUUCAAAGGAGAAAAAAUUACUGUUGCACUAUUUCUUCAUUGAGGACUCGGAGGAUAAAGGAUGUCUCCAGGAAUUAUGCAAAAAAAGUGAAUAUUUGCAGGAUGAAGAAUACUUGAAUAUCAGACAACUGUUUCAAAAUCAAACUUGAAAUUAAAUUUGUGUUCACUAAGUGCUGUAUUACAGGUGCUGAAUAUGAGGAUGAUUUUGAAAGAUAAGUAUUUUAUUCACUAAAUUGCGGGUUAGUGUGUGGUCUUGGAUGCAGACUGUUCAAUCUUUGUCAUUGGAGAUAUUCAAAAUCCAGCAGCACACAGUACUGUGAAACCUGCUUAAGCUAACCCUGCCUGGAGUAGAUGGUUGGGCUAGAUGAUCUCAGAGGUACCUUCAGGUCUGAACAGCUCUCUGAUUCUUUCUGUGAAAUGGACUGAAAGGAAAAUGUGAAAUGCGGAAAGUACUACUGGGCAGUUCUUUUGUUCUCUGUAAAUAUUGUUAUUUCUAAAAGUAACUAAAAAAAAUGCUUUGAAACACUACAAACCAUGGAGAAAUAACAGUUCAGAUGCAGUGGUGUAUGAGAUGAAAGAUUUAAAGGGGCUUUGGAUCAGACAUCCAGUAAGUACUUCCUUACUCCUGACAAUUUUUUUGUUAAGCAUACAAGUGCAGUCCAUUGCAGACUUUUCUUAAAGAGUGAACCCAUGAAGACACAAUAACAAUAGAUUUCAAAGGCGGAAACUGUAAGGUCAAAAUUCCAGUUUCUCAGGUUUGAAAUUAAAUAACAUUGUAGAUAUACAAUGGUCCUAAUGAUGAUUUCUAUUUGUUUUUCAUAACUCUCAUCAUUAAGGACAUGCUGGAGCAUAUAUCCACACUGAAGCCCAUGGAAGAUUCACAUAUCAGCAAAUAGGUACGAUCUGAAGGAAGCUGUAGUGUGUGGAAAUACACAAGAUCUGCAUUCAGGAGCUGCAGUCUGUGGAAAAAAUACCACAUUGACACAGUUUACCUUGUUAGGAGCUGCAGUGAGGAAUCCACAGCGAACACAUGCUGGAGUAUUUUCUUCCUAAAGAACUGUGCACAGACCCAGUAUUGAAGAACUGCAUCCCAUGUCUUCUCCCCAUGUCCCACUGAGGAGCAGAAGAGAGUUGAGUGGGCAUUUGGCAGCAAGUCCAGGUCAACCCAUCACAUUCUUAACUCACCAAUAACUGUGAUUUCAAAUAACCAUAUUUUGUUGUGCUUCAGAUUUGUCAAGGAGUUGUAGGGUUAGGGUAGUAACUGACAUAUUGCUUUCUAUUGUAGAUUGAGAGCAACCCUGUGGAGAAUGACUUGAGUGUGUAGGUAGAUGAAAAGUUAAACAUGCAUUCUGUGCUUGUAGCCAAGAAAGACAACUGUGUCCUGGAGUCCAUCAAAAGAAGGAAACAUGGACAGCAGGAUGAAGGAAGUGAAUCUCUCCUUCUGCUUCAUUCUCAUAAAACUCCACCUGGAGUACCGGGGUUCCCAAGCUGAAAAUGUAAGAUAUAGAUCUAUUAUAGUUAGUCCAAAAGAUGGCCAUGAUAAUCAGAGGGCUGGAGCACUUCUUAUACAAAGAAAGACUGAGGUACUAGCGGUUGUUCAACCUAGAGAAGAGAAAGCACAGAGCUGGUCUUAUAGUGGCCUUCCAAAUAUCUAAAAGGGGCCUACAAUAAAAAUGGAGAGGGACUCUUUAACGGAGAAUACAGAGAUAGGGCAAGGUUUUAAACUACAAGAACAUAAAUUUUGUUCAGACAUUAGAAACAAACUCUUCACUAUGAGGGUGGUGAGGCACUGGAACAGGUUGCUAGAGAAGUUGUGGAUGACCCAUCCCUGGAAGUGCUCAAGGCCAGCCUGGAUUGUGCUUUGGGCAACCUGGUCUAGUGGAACUGUCCCUGCCCCUGGCAAGGGUGUCUGAACUAGCCAAUAUUUGAGGUCCUUUCCAAGUCAAACCAUUCUAUCAUUCUGUUACCGAUGUUGUGAUUGUAUGAAGACUAAAGAAGUCAAAAUGAUGAAGCUAUGUUUUCAAAUGAGAUCUUUUCCGCAAUAAAUGACACUUCUGAGGCAGCUGUGCUUACUUUUCAUAAAGUCAAGAUGAAUUCUUUUUCUAAGUACAUUAAUAUAUUUAUUCUCAUCAUUUAAAAACAUUUUCACCAUUUGUCAGUGGAUUUUUUCCCAAGAUUUCCAUAACAUUUCCAAAUAUUUUAUGUUUGUAAUUCUAUUAUAAGAUACCCUAAAUGAGCUGAAGGGAAAGAAAAUCAUUUUUUCAGUUUUCAGUUUUCAUUUUGUAACAAAACUACUUUGUGAAAUUUGACAUCAUUUAGUAUUCUUAAAAUGCUGAAGUAUGUAUUGGAAAAAAAGAAGUAAAAAUGAAUUUGAAUGAAAAUUAUUAUUUAUUUUGAAAACAAACUAUAAUAAUUUGGGAAUUGGAAAUAAAUAUUAUUUCCAUAGGAAAUUUAAUUACUUUAAUUAAUUUUAAAAAUCAAAACAAACAAACAAGCAAACAAACAAACAACAACAACAAAAAAACGAUCCAGUAAUGAUGCUUUACCUUCCCAGGGCACAAAUGAAAGUUUGAUCAAGUUAAACACAAGUACCUCAUUCUGUUGCUUCCAUGUAUCCCCUGUACUACUGAAGACAUUGUACAAGGCAGAUAGUUUUUUUGUCAAAGACAUUUGUGUUUUCAUCAGCCAGCCAUCUAUGAAUGUAAGCUGAAUUUUCUUUGGUAUUGCAUUUAUACAUUGUAGGAUCUUGGUAUUGAUCAUAUUGAAUAUUUACAAAUAUUCAGAAUCUCUUGUUUUCCUUUUGUAGUGGUCCUAUUUAUCUUUUUAAAUCCAAGGUGAAAAAAUAAUAACACUAUUGCCAUUGUUGUAUAGUCAGUCUAUCAAUAUAAUUUGCAAGUAAUCUGAAAUGACAUUAUUGUGACGCGCCAUUAAAAAAAUGAUGAAACUGG